GACGAACGCUGGCGGCGUGGAUUAGGCAUGCAAGUCGGACGGUAGGGCUUUAUCGUAAGAUAGAGUUUGAGAGUGGCGAAUGGGUGAGUAACACGUAGGAAUCUACCCUUAAGACGGGGACAACCCAGGGAAACUUGGGCUAAUACCGGAUGAGAGUGCGAGAGAUUGCAUUUAAAAAGGAUGGCGAAAGUUAUCGCUUAGGGAUGAGCCUGCGGUCUAUUAGUUAGUUGGUGGGGUAAAGAGCUCACCAAGGCGAUGAUAGAUAGGCGGCCUUAACGGGUGGUCGCCCACACUGGAACUGAAACACGGUCCAUACACCUACGGGUGGCAGCAGUAGGGAAUAUUAGUAAUGGGCGAAAGCCUGAACUAGCAACGCCGCGUGUGCGAAGAAGGCCUUCGGGUUGUAAAGCACUUUUGAGAGGAUGAGGAAGGACGGUACUCUCAGAAUAAGUCUCGGCUAACUACGUG
rnacentral:rRNA from 1 species